GAACCAGGAGGGUAAGCUGAAUGGGGGGAGUCCACUGCAUAUGCCCCCACACCCUGCCUAGGAGCUAGACCCGCUGGCUGCUUCCAGGGUACAGCACGGUGCCAGGACAGUUAUCAGUUCUGCGACCUCUACAAGAACUGCUCCAAGGUAAUCCUUCACCCCUCUCGCUCUCUCCUUCCUCUCACCAGCUGCUCCAAAGCAGCCAACAUAUUUUGAAGUCCUGGCCCACAGUUCCCAACAUUAUGUUUGUGAGCUGCUUGCUGAGAACAGUUGAUAAGAUGGAUCACUCUUAAGUCACCUGGUGCAUCUUUCUUUCCAGAUUGAUUAGACAAUUCCUAGAACUAGAGUUCCAAUGGCUUCUUCUGAAUGUGCGGAUGGAGGAAGGUGCGUAAAAGGACUCUGGCUACUGCAUAUUACACCA